AGCAGCCGCGGUAAUUCCAGCUCCAAUAGCGUAUAUUAAAGUUGUUGCAGUUAAAAGGCUCGUAGUUGAACUUCAGACCUGGCUGGGCGGUCAGCUUAUCGGCUUGUACUGUCUGGCUGGGCCUUACUUCUUGGUGAGCUGAUGUGUCCUUUAUUGGGUGCGUCGGUGAACCAGGACCUUUACCUUGAGAAAAUUAGAGUGUUCAAAGCAGGCCUAUGCCCGAAUACAUUAGCAUGGAAUAAUAAAAUAGGACGUGCGGUUCUAUUUUGUUGGUUUCUAGAGUCGCCGUAAUGAUUAAUAGGGAUAGUUGGGGGCAUUGGUAUUGAGUCGCUAGAGGUGAAAUUCUUGGAUUGACUCAAGACCAACUAUUGCGAAAGCAUUUGCCAAGGAUGUUUUCAUUAAUCAAGAACGAAGGUUAGGGGAUCGAAAACGAUUAGAUACCGUUGUAGUCUUAACAGUAAACUAUGCCGACUAGGGAUCGGAUGACCUCAAUUAUUAUGUGUCAUUCG
rnacentral:rRNA from 1 species